UCUUAUGUGCAUGCCUAUAGCGUUAAUGCAACAAAUCCCAUUAGAAAUAUUUUGUUAAGUGUGCUUGGGAUAGAAUAGUAUUGGGAUGGGUGACUUCCCAGGAAGUCCUAGUGUUUUAUAUGCC
rfam:Picea glauca, whole genome shotgun sequence.